rnacentral:rRNA from 1 species
UACGUAGGGAGCAAGCGUUGUCCGGAAUCAUUGGGCGUAAAGCGCGCGUAGGCGGCCCGAUAAGUCCGCUGUAAAAGUCAACGGCUCAACUGUUGAAAGCCGGUGGAUACUGUCGGGCUAGAGUACGGAAGAGGCAAGUGGAAUUCCUGGUGUAGCGGUGGAAUGCGCAGAUAUCAGGAGGAACACCCAUAGCGAAGGCAGCUUGCUGGGACGUUACUGACGCUAAGGCGCGAAAGCAUGGGGAGCAAACAGG